UAGGCAGACAGCAAAUUAUCUGAUAUUCAAGCAGGUCAUGAAAAGACAUUGACAGCCUUAUUACCAGCAUUGGCAGGUGCCAAUCUUAUUUACGGGC
rnacentral:ncRNA from 1 species